ensembl:snoRNA Small nucleolar RNA U6-53/MBII-28
UUCCUAUGAUGAGUUUGCCAUGCUAAUACUGAUGCGCCAGAAUAACUGUGUCUCUCUGGGCGCAAGUGAGUUCAACUGAACUUCUCACACGUGCAGUGUGCUCUGAGGAAA